GAUGAACGCUAGCGGCAGGCCUAAUACAUGCAAGUCGAGGGGCAGCAUGAAGUAGCAAUACUUUGAUGGUGACCGGCAAACGGGUGCGGAACACGUACACAACCUUCCUUUAAGUGGGGAAUAGCUCAGAGAAAUUUGGAUUAAUACCCCGUAAUACAAUGAAGUGGCAUCACUUUGUUGUUAUAGUUUCGGUGCUUAAUGAUGGGUGUGCGUAUGAUUAGAUAGUUGGCGAGGUAACGGCUCACCAAGUCUACGAUCAUUAGCUGAUGUGAGAGCAUGAUCAGCCACACGGGCACUGAGACACGGACCCGACUGCUACGGGAGGCAGCAGUAAGGAAUAUUGGUCAAUGAACGCUAGUCUGAACCAGCCGUGCCACGUAAAGGAUUAAGGUCCUCGGGAUAGUAAGCUUCUUUUAUAUGGGACAAAAGAAGGUCUUUCUACACACCUUGACGGUACCAUAUGAGUAAGCACCGGCUAACUCCGUG
rnacentral:rRNA from 1 species